AGAGUUUGAUCCUGGCUCAGGAUGAACGCUGGCGGCGUGCUUAACACAUGCAAGUCGAACGAAGCACUUUAUUGGAUUUCCUUCGGGGAUGAAGAUUUUGUGACUGAGUGGCGGACGGGUGAGUAACGCGUGGGCAACCUGCCUCAUACAGGGGGAUAACAGUUGGAAACGACUGCUAAUACCGCAUAAGCGCACGGGACCGCAUGAUCCUGUGUGAAAAACUCCGGUGGUAUGAGAUGGGCCCGCGUCUGAUUAGCUGGUUGGCAGGGCAGCGGCCUACCAAGGCGACGAUCAGUAGCCGACCUGAGAGGGUGACCGGCCACAUUGGGACUGAGACACGGCCCAAACUCCUACGGGAGGCAGCAGUGGGGAAUAUUGCACAAUGGGGGAAACCCUGAUGCAGCGACGCCGCGUGAGCGAAGAAGUAUUUCGGUAUGUAAAGCUCUAUCAGCAGGGAAGAAAAUGACGGUACCUGACUAAGAAGCACCGGCUAAAUACGUGCCAGCAGCCGCGGUAAUACGUAUGGUGCAAGCGUUAUCCGGAUUUACUGGGUGUAAAGGGAGCGCAGGCGGAAGGCUAAGUCUGAUGUGAAAGCCCGGGGCUCAACCCCGGUACUGCAUUGGAAACUGGUCAUCUAGAGUGUCGGAGGGGUAAGUGGAAUUCCUAGUGUAGCGGUGAAAUGCGUAGAUAUUAGGAGGAACACCAGUGGCGAAGGCGGCUUACUGGACGAUGACUGACGCUGAGGCUCGAAAGCGUGGGGAGCAAACAGGAUUAGAUACCCUGGUAGUCCACGCCGUAAA
rnacentral:rRNA from 1 species